UCACCCCUCAAGCUCCGUGCUUGGUGUUGGACGGCCUGGCUGGGCGCGCUGCCCGGCUCCUCCUAAAGACAAUGACGGCGGUCCGUGGAACCCCCGGUACACUGAGCUUUCUUUAACGAGCACGUACCGGAAAGAGGGCGCCCGGACGACGGUCUGAAACCCCCAUAUUUCUCAA
rnacentral:misc_RNA from 1 species